GAUGAACGCUUGCGGGAGGCCUAACACAUGCAAGCCGAGCGGUAUUGUUUCUUCGGAAAUGAGAGAGCGGCGUACGGGUGCGGAACACGUGUGCAACCUGCCUUUAUCUGGGGGAUAGCCUUUCGAAAGGAAGAUUAAUACUCCAUAAUAUAUUGAACGGCAUCGUUUAAUAUUGAAAGCUCCGGCGGAUAGAGAUGGGCACGCGCAAGAUUAGCUAGUUGGUGAGGUAACGGCUCACCAAGGCGAUGAUCUUUAGGGGGCCUGAGAGGGUGAUCCCCCACACUGGUACCGAGACACGGACCAGACUCCUACGGGAGGCAGCAGUGAGGAAUAUUGGUCAAUGGGUGCAAGCCUGAACCAGCCAUCCCGCGUGAAGGACGACUGCCCUAUGGGUUGUAAACUUCUUUUGUAUAGGGAUAAACCUACCCUCGUGAGGGUAGCUGAAGGUACUAUACGAAUAAGCACCGGCUAACUCCGUGCCAGCAGCCGCGGUAAUACGGAGGGUGCAAGCGCUAUCCGGAUUUAUUGGGUUUAAAGGGUCCGUAGGCGGACUUAUAAGUCAGUGGUGAAAGCCUGUCGCUUAACGAUAGAACUGCCAUUGAUACUGUAAGUCUUGAGUAUAUUUGAGGUAGCUGGAAUAAGUAGUGUAGCGGUGAAAUGCAUAGAUAUUACUUAGAACACCAAUUGCGAAGGCAGGUUACCAAGAUAUAACUGACGCUGAGGGACGAAAGCGUGGGGAGCGAACGGGAUUAGAUACCCUGGUAGUCCACGCCGUAAACGAUGCUAACUCGUUUUUGGGCUUUAGGGUUCAGAGACCAAGCGAAAGUGAUAAGUUAGCCACCUGGGGAGUACGCUCGCAAGAGUGAAACUCAAAGGAAUUGACGGGGGCCCGCACAAGCGGUGGAUUAUGUGGUUUAAUUCGAUGAUACGCGAGGAACCUUACCAAGACUUAAAUGGGAAUUGACAGCUUUAGAAAUAGAGCUUUCUUCGGACAAUUUUCAAGGUGCUGCAUGGUUGUCGUCAGCUCGUGCCGUGAGGUGUUAGGUUAAGUCCUGCAACGAGCGCAACCCCUGUCACUAGUUGCCAUCAUUCAGUUGGGGACUCUAGUGAGACUGCCUACGCAAGUAGAGAGGGAGGUGGGGAUGACGUCAAAUCAUCACGGCCCUUACGUCUUGGGCCACACACGUAAUACAAUGGCCGGUACAGAGGGCAGCUACACAGCGAUGUGAUGCAAAUCUCGAAAGCCGGUCUCAGUUCGGAUUGGAGUCUGCAACUCGACUCUAUGAAGCUGGAAUCGCUAGUAAUCGCGCAUCAGCCAUGGCGCGGUGAAUACGUUCCCGGGCCU
rnacentral:rRNA from 1 species